UACGUAGGGACCAAGCGUUGUUCGGAUUUACUGGGCGUAAAGGGCGCGUAGGCGGCGUGGUAAGUCAGCUGUGAAAUCUCCGAGCUUAACUCGGAACGGUCAGCUGAUACUGCUGUGCUAGAGUACAGAAAGGGCAAUCGGAAUUCUUGGUGUAGCGGUGAAAUGCGUAGAUAUCAAGAGGAACACCUGAGGCGAAGGCGGGUUGCUAGGCUGAUACUGACGCUGAGGCGCGAAAGCGUGGGGAGCGAACAGG
rnacentral:rRNA from 1 species